CACGAGUCAGCAGCUAAGGUGACAGGCAUGCUUUUGGAGAUGGACCAGACUGAAGUUUUGCAUUUGCUCGAGUCGCCGGAGGCUUUGAAGGCCAAAGUGGCAGAGGCCAUGGAGGUCCUGAGAAAUGUUGCCCAACAGCAGGCUAACAGCAGCGCUGAUCAACUAUCUUCAUUGUCUCUGAAUGACAACCUUGUCUCGUAAAUGAGAAGUGUGGCAUCUGGUGUUUCCUUGCUAUGUGGGGAGUCUUUGGCAUAAGUUUUCGUUUGAUGUUGGAGUGAUUGUAGCUUUUUCAAAAUUAGAACCUAGACUUAAUUUCCUCCUGCAAUUUUUUGUUUUUGUUUUUGGUUUUUGGUUGUGUAGGAUUUUUACUGUUGCUACAUUUGGCGUGCAUCAUGGAUUCAUGGUUUUGGUUAAUUUAAUGACUUUAGACAUUUUCUUAAAUUUUUUUUGUAGUCUUUUCUUAUUUUAAUCGUUUUGUUUUGAAAUUUUAAUUUUUCCCCUAGAUUCUUUUUAGCCUUUCACUAUUUAUCCGAUUCAUUAUGGUAAUAUUCCGAAUUCUAUUACGAUUCGGAUGGGUAAAAUAAUGGAAAUGAAUUGGCGAGUCGAAGGGAACUUGGAGGUGUGUGUUUGGCCGGAAACAAAAGCGCCCUUUGAAAGCGACAAGGAAUUCUGAUUCUUUGCUAGUCUUUUAACUGCAUUAAUGACCAAUUUGUAUAAAAAGUGUUGCAAAUUCUUGGAUGUUGCCAUUGUCCACAAAUGUCUAUCCGAUAUGACAUGUGGCGUAUUACGGGACGGCUCUCAGAGGCUAGCAAUUGAGACUUAAAAUAAUGAGCCUGCCUCUGUCGAGAGGCUAGCUAGGUCUUUUGGGUGAUUCAGACGGCAACCAAAAAAGAAGAAAAAGGAGGAGGAGAGAACCCAACAACAAUCUCCCUCAGCUCAAGGUUUUCUUCUUGUUCUUUUAAUAAGCUGCUGGGUUGUUAAUUAGAUAAUAGUUAUAUGGGUAAUAUUGGGGUGGGAAUGGCUGUAUAUAUUCCUUAAUAAGCUGUUGUGUGGUUAAUUUGUGAAGGAUAGAUGAUAAUACAUAUAUUAGUUGGUAGCAGUGGCGAAUCCAGGAUUCUCGGGCCAAUGCUCUUUUAAAAACUUUACAUUAUAGUUUCAUAAAUCAUUUAUUUUUUAAUAAUUUUAGGCACUUUUGUUUAUGCCUUAUCUAAAAGAGAAUAUCAUUUUUUAUAAAGAAUAAAAUUACAAUGUAUAGAGACUACAAUUAUCUUUUAAAUUUUUUUUAAAUGAAACUAACCCAACCCCCUACUUUGAAAAAGAAAAUUAAAAACAAAAAACAAAAAACAAUAUCUCUCAUUUUCUUUUAAAAAUAAAAUAAAAAAUACUACAUAUAAUAUAACAUGUUUGCUGUUGUUAGCGUCCCCCACUUUAAUACUUCUAAUAUUAUAUUUUUAUGUUGUUUUCAAAGCAAAAUAGGCAUUCAGAAAAAACAAAAAAACAAAAAAACAAAAAAACAAAAAACAAAGAAGAGACUAGCUCACGACACAGCACGAAUCAAAUAUACUCUUUUUUCCCCCUCUCCAGUCAAACUCUCUGUCGGUGGCUCUUCUUCCAGGGACUAUUUUGCGCCUCUGGGUUGCAACACAAAUUUCUUUUGAUCUGCUCUACCUUGUCUUUCCUUUUCUCUGUCCAAAAUUAAAACUCACCCACCCAUUACCAUUGCAGUAAUCCAUCAACCAACCUCUCUCUCUGUCUUUGGGGACUUUCAUCGAGCACGUUCAUUGCAUUCAAGGGUCAACAAGCUGCUGGCUAAGGGGUCUGCAACUGCUCUCCUGCGACCUCCACAGCCAAACGGCGGCAUCCCAGGGGGUCAAUUGACCCCUCUUGUCCCUUGGUGCAUCCGUUUGUGGGGUCAAGCGACCCCUCUUGUCCCUUAAUCCGUCCGCCCCUGGUUGGUAGUUGGUACUUUGUUUCCUUGGAUAUGUUCAAAGUUGGUGACUGUCUUCUCAUCUUUGCAUAUACUACGGGCAAAUUAACACUUGCACUAAACAAUUAUAUAUCCAGGAACUGCAGCCCACGUCUGCAACUGCAUAUAAAACCAGAAUAGCUAAGCAGAGGUGGAAAUAUCGAGAAAUUGAAACAGCUCACUGCGCGUGAGUUUUUUUUUCUGUAAAAUGAAUUCCCCAAGUGUCAAAUACAUUUCAGAAUGCUUUGUCCAGCCACACCAUGCCUCAGAAGAAUCAAAGCAGCCCUUCUACUUGACCCCCGGUGAUCUGGCCAUGCUCUCCGUGCACUACAUUCAAAAGGGCCUUCUCUUUUCCAAACCACCAGAAGCAAAACUGGGACAGGAGGAUUUCACCAAUUCUCUGUUGGAAAGGCUCAAACACUCUCUUUCCAUUGCACUUGUUCAUUUCUACCCAUUGGCAGGUCGCUUUGUGACCGAGAAGAACGAAGACCCGCCUUUGUAUUUGGUAUAUGUAGAUUGCAACAACAGCCCUGGAGCCAAAUUCAUAAAUGCAACUCUGGACAUGUCAAUUUCUGACAUUCUUUCACCAACUGAUGCGCCUUUGGUGGUUCAAUCGUUUUUUGAUCAUGACAGGGCGGUCAACCAUGAUGGGCACACUAUGUCCUUGCUAACCAUUCAGGUCACAGAGCUGGUAGAUGGCAUUUUUAUAGGGCUUUCCAUGAAUCACUGUCUUGGUGAUGGAACCUCUUACUGGCAUUUCUUCAACAUUUGGUCUGAGAUCUUUCAAGCACAAGCACAAGGAGAUCAUAAUAAUUUUGUACCCAAAAUCUCAAGACCACCAGUCCUCAAGCGCUGGUUUCCAGAUGGUCAUGGCCCAAUUAUCAAUCUCCCUUUCAAACACUCGGAUGAGUUCAUUGGCAGAUAUGAAGCUCCCAAACUCAGGGAGAGAAUGUUUCACUUCUCCUCGGAAUCCAUAGCCAAACUCAAAGCAAAGGCCAAUGCAGAAUCCAAUACCACCAAAAUCUCUUCCUUCCAGUCCUUGUCUGCCCUGAUGUGGAGGUCUAUUACUCGUGCGCGUGGUUUACCCCGAGAUCAAGGAACCAACUGCAGGCAUGUUUCCUUCAAUACAUUCCACUCAGAAUUCCCAAGUAGUUUUCUGUUUCUUGAUAUUUUCAUAAACAUCGAUAUUUAAUACCUUGGUUGCAGGUUGGCUGCGAAUAACAGAGGAAGAUUAGAGCCACCAUUGUCUGGAGAUUAUUUUGGGAACUCAAUUCACCCGAUUAGAUCAGAAAUUGUCCCAGCUGGUGAGUUGCUUGAACAUGGGCUUGGAUGGGCAGCGUGGAAGUUGCACGAAGCGGUAGUUAACCACAAUGACAAGUUGAUAAGGGAACAUGUUGAUGGCUGGCUGAAGUCUCCAGCUGUUUACCAACUGAGUUUCUUCGAUCCAUUCAGUGUGAUGAUGGGGAGUUCACCGAGGUUCAACAUGUAUGGAAAUCAGUUUGGAAUGGGAAAAGCACUAGCGCCUAGAAGUGGUUAUGCAAAUAAGUUUAGUGGGAAAGUGUCAUCGUACGAAGGCCGCGAAGAAGGAAGCAUAGACUUGGAGGUGUGUCUUCCACCUGAUGCAAUGAGUGCUCUUGAAUGUGACAGUGAGUUCAUGGAAGCUGCCUCUUUACCCCUUUAUUAGUGACAAGUGAUCAUAUGAAUAAGAAUCAUGCAAUCUGCACAAUGUUUAAGUAGAGUUGAGAAUAAUAUGAAUAUGCAUAUGCUUAAUUUGGUAGUGGAAUGAUAGAAAGGUGUGUGGAAGGAAGAAUGAGAAAAAAUGGAACAGAAAAAGAAUAUUUCAUUAAAAAGCACUUAGUUCAAAAGAUAUGAAUAAGGUGUAUAUGGAAUUUACACAUUCAACCAAAUCCUUAGCCGUUCAGCCAAAAAUCAUUUGUUAGUAACUUUGUGCUAUUUUAAACAUAAAAAAUAUUGUUAUGACUAACAAGAUAUGACGGAUGAUUGUCACAUUUUUUAUAAUUAUCCACAUAAUAAUAAUAUGGAGGCAAAAGCCAAGGGCGGCCCUAGGUGGUGCAAGUGGCGCCACCGCACAGGACAUCAAAAAAAUAUUCUUUAUAUUAUAUUAUAUUAUAUAUAUAUAUAAAUAUAUUAAUAUUAUAGGAAUUGUAUAUAUAGUAUAGCAUUGUUGUUGCAUUUGUGUUUAAUACAAUAUAAUUUAAUUUGUUAAUGACAUUUGUGUGCAACUACUUUUUAAUUUUUGAUUGCCAAUUUUUUUUCCUAUUAAACACAGAUUGCUUAUUAGAGGCAGCAAGGGACCUUAUAGGGGCACAAAUAGCUUAUUUUUGUACCAAGCAUUUAAUUUUAUCUAAUAGAAACAUUUAAAUUUUUAUGAAUUUGAUUUCUGAUUGUCAUUACAUACUUAUUGAUGGUGACUUUUUAGUUAUAAAAAAAAUUGUUUAUGACAUUAAGUUAUGGAAAAUUUUUAUUUAUAGUAUUUUCGUAUUAGAUUAUGUGAUGCUCCAAUUUAAGUUUCGCACAGGGCUCUCAAAAUCUCAAAGACGACCCUAGCAAAAGCCAAAGUAGCAAGCAUGUGGUUGCUUGGCAUGAGCACAAGAUUAAAACGUUAUGUUUUUAAAUGACAAGAAAAAAAAUGUAAAGAAAUGUUAACAUACCUUGGGUGGACAGAUGCUUGGUGAGGCUUUAUAUCCCCUAGUUGACCAGUUGGAGCACGAGUCAGCAGCUAAGGUGACAGGCAUGCUUUUGGAGAUGGACCAGACUGAAGUUUUGCAUUUGCUCGAGUCGCCGGAGGCUUUGAAGGCCAAAGUGGCAGAGGCCAUGGAGGUCCUGAGAAAUGUUGCCCAACAGCAGGCUAACAGCAGCGCUGAUCAACUAUCUUCAUUGUCUCUGAAUGACAACCUUGUCUCAUAAAUGAGAAGUGUGGCAUCUGGUGUUUCCUCGCUAUGUGGGGAGUCUUUGGCAGAAGUUUUCGUUUGAUGUUGGAGUGAUUGUAGCUUUUUCAAAAUUAGAGACUAGACUUAAUUUCCUCCUGCUCCUGCAUUUUUUGUUUUGUUUUUGGUUUUUGGUUGUGUAGGAUUUUUACCGUUUGUUACAUUUGGCUUGCAUCAUGGAUUCAUGGUUUUGGUUAAGAGUUUUUAUCAAAAAUAGUUAAAAUUUACCUGAUACUUUCAUAAAUGUCCAUUUUGAUAAAAUUUUUCAAAAAUAGUUAAAAACUCACGUAAAUAGACUAAAAUGCCCUCAAAACUUAAACCCACAUAAACC
rnacentral:lncRNA from 1 species